UUUCUUUUUUGAAUUCUCUUUAUCUCCUUCAAAAUGUAUAAUAUU
rnacentral:sRNA from 1 species